rnacentral:rRNA from 1 species
AGAGUUUGAUCAUGGCUCAGAACGAACGCUGGCGGCAUGCCUAACACAUGCAAGUCGAACGCCCUGGUUCGCCAGGGAAUGGCGCACGGGUGAGUAACGCGUGGGAACCUGCCCGGCAGUACGGGACAACCGCGGGAAACUGCGGCUGAUACCGUAUACGGCCUGAGGGCGAAAGAAUUUCGCUGUCGGAGGGGCCCGCGUCGGAUUAGGUAGUUGGUGGGGUAACGGCCUACCGAGCCUGCGAUCCGUAGCUGGUCUGAGAGGAUGAUCAGCCACACUGGGACUGAGACACGGCCCAGACUCCUACGGGAGGCAGCAGUGGGGAAUAUUGGACAAUGGGCGCAAGCCUGAUCCAGCAAUGCCGCGUGAGUGAUGAAGGCCUUAGGGUUGUAAAGCUCUUUCGCCCGCGACGAUGAUGACGGUAGCGGGAGAAGAAGCCCCGGCUAACUCCGUGCCAGCAGCCGCGGUAAUACGGAGGGGGAUAGCGUUGUUCGGAAUUACUGGGCGUAAAGGGCGCGCAGGCGGCUGCUCAAGUCAGGCGUGAAAGGCCUGGGCUCAACCCGGGAAUUGCGCUUGAGACUGGGCUGGCUUGAGUGCGGGAGAGGAUGGUGGAAUUCCCAGUGUAGAGGUGAAAUUCGUAGAUAUUGGGAAGAACACCGGUGGCGAAGGCGGCCAUCUGGACCGCAACUGACGCUGAGGC